rfam:Myotis davidii contig55461, whole genome shotgun sequence.
AGCUUUGUACAUUGGCAGUAUCAUAGCCAAUGAGGUUUAUCCGAGGCGCGAUUAUUACUAAUUGGAAACUUUUCCCAAUACUCCGAUAUGACAACUUGAAAUAGUCAGCAUUAGCGAUUAAAAGUUUUUGAAUGGAAAAAA